rnacentral:rRNA from 1 species
GACGAACGCUGGCGGCGUGCUUAACACAUGCAAGUCGAACGGAAAGGCCCUGCUUUUGUGGUGUGCUCGAGUGGCGAACGGGUGAGUAACACGUGAGUAACCUGCCCUUGACUUUGGGAUAACUUCAGGAAACUGGGGCUAAUACCGGAUAGGAGCUCCUGCUGCAUGGUGGGGGUUGGAAAGUUUCGGCGGUUGGGGAUGGACUCGCGGCUUAUCAGCUUGUUGGUGGGGUAGUGGCUUACCAAGGCUUUGACGGGUAGCCGGCCUGAGAGGGUGACCGGCCACAUUGGGACUGAGAUACGGCCCAGACUCCUACGGGAGGAAGAAGUGGGGAAUAUUGCACAAUGGGCGGAAGCCUGAUGCAGAAACGCCGCGUGCGGGAUGACGGCCUUCGGGUUGUAAACCGCUUUCGCCUGUGACGAAGCGUGAGUGACGGUAAUGGGUAAAGAAGCACCGGCUAACUACGUG